UACGAAGGGGGCUAGCGUUGUUCGGAACUACUGGGCGUAAAGCGCGCGCAGGCGGCUAUCCAAGUCAGUGGUGAAAGCCCGGAGCUCAACUCCGGAACUGCCAUUGAAACUGUUUAGCUUGAGGAUGAGAGAGGUGAGUGGAAUUCCCAGUGUAGAGGUGAAAUUCGUAGAUAUUGGGAAGAACACCGGUGGCGAAGGCGGCUCACUGGCUCAUUACUGACGCUCAGGCGCGAUAGCGUGGGGAUCAAACAGG
rnacentral:rRNA from 1 species